UAACAAUCACCAAGAUCGCGAGGCCGUUCCAAUUAUUUCUAUAGUCAAAUCGAGCGUACCUUUCGUAAACCUCGGCGACGUUUUCAAGCGCUUCAAUCACGACGGACUUGUGCUGAAAUAACAGCCAGCAGUUUCGAUACAGGAAAAAGCCAUAAAAUACGGAAGCGGCGGAUCCUUUGAUGGAAAAAAAGACAACUGUAGCCAAUCAUGUGAGGAACCUUGAUCCCAUCAGGAGGUUUAACUUCGCCUUCUUCUCACCUUAAAAGAUCAUACAAAAUAGCGUCCGUCGACAAAAAAGCAAGGAAAUAAAUGCACGAAAAGCCGAAUAAGAUUCUCGGAGUUUUUCGUCCACAAAAGAUAGGAUGACACAACCGUGAAACGGCCGAGAUGGAAAAACGCGUCGAAGAAUACUGCCCGCAUAGGUUGUUCCAUUGUCCGCCCUUUGCCAGUUAAAUGAUGAACGUUCACCAUGCAAAGAAAUUCGUCCGAGCUAUUGUCGAAGAAACUUUUCCGUCGUAAAUCAGCGGAGGCUUUUUCGUAGCGUUUCGAACGCUUUUACGCGCGAGACUCACCUGGUCGCAAUCAGAUGGAGAUAUAUUUUGCGCUCGGUUCAUUAACCGAUUCAACGCCUCAGCGUGGAAUUCCCUGGACGAUGACGCAACACAUAAAACUCGUGGUCUCCCGUACAGCCCAGAGACGAGUGCUGAUUAACGCAAUGUAAUUUUCGGUCUGGUAAUUACUCCAAUUACCAGCUGACCUUAAGGUUAAACGGCUAUACUUGACCAUCAUCCGGGCCUGUUGGCACGCCGAGUUCUCUCGGUCUUCGAUGUUUUACUCUCUUUUAACAGACCACGUCACUAAAUCUGAUGGAUUCGACUUCGAGAAAUUGGAAUAAGUAAUAUGACAUUAUGGAAUUGUGGCUCUGUAUACCCUUCGUCUACUUUGAAGUUUUAGCUUCAA